rnacentral:misc_RNA from 1 species
AAUAAAUAAAUAAAAAAAAAAAAUGUCAAUAUACAUGGCCACCAAUGUAGCCACUCAUACAAUAUCAUCAAACUUGAAAUGAGGCCAGAAAGUGGCAACGAAUCGCAAGUGCCAUAAUUUAUAUCUCCGCGUUUAUGCAUGGCACCUAUGCUCCUAUUUUGGAAAUAUUGCUCCUGUCUUAAUUUCAUCUAUGAUUUUUAAAUUUAAAUUAGUUACUGAACUUCAAAUUUGUAUUCAAGUACAUGAUAUAUUUCAAUGACCACUGUUGAUGGUAAACCUAUAGUUCCCCGACAAUUAACAUUUCUCAGUAUUACAAGAUCAUACUAGCUCAUAAACGUAAGGAACAAUCAAGAACUGAUCACUUGUGUUCUCUGCACUUGUGCCAUGUAACCAUUAAAUAUUCUACAACCCAAUCUCAAGACAGUUAAAUGCUAAAUAAUCAUAAUACAACUGCAAUGUUCAUAAGCAUCAAACAAAAAAAAAAAAAAAAAAA